UACGUAGGGUGCGAGCGUUAAUCGGAAUUACUGGGCGUAAAGCGUGCGCAGGCGGUUUUGUAAGACAGGUGUGAAAUCCCCGGGCUUAACCUGGGAACUGCGCUUGUGACUGCAAGACUCGAGUACGGCAGAGGGGGAUAGAAUUCCACGUGUAGCAGUGAAAUGCGUAGAGAUGUGGAGGAAUACCGAUGGCGAAGGCAGCCUUCUGGGCCAACACUGACGCUCAUGCACGAAAGCGUGGGGAGCAAACAGG
rnacentral:rRNA from 1 species